UGCUUGCAGGUGCUGAACCGAACCGUUCCUAUGUGUGUCGAUGGUGUCCAUGCGACCACGCACCAACACUUGACAUGGUAUUGGCUGGGUCCUGCAGGCCGAGCUGGUCCAUGAGCGCGUGCACCGGCCUCUUCUUCUCUAAGUGGUGAUUUGACUGUAGAGCAUGCAACAUCAAGUAGUAUGUGAACAAAUGAAGUGAUCGAAUAUAGAAAACAUGUAUGAACCACAAAUCAUCAAUAAUCAAAAUCUGAGGACCAACAUGUUCACAAGGUAAGGCAAAAAGGUUCUUCACCAAAAUUUUACUGCAGCUUAUUCCUUUUAUUUUCCUUUCCUUCACAGACCUGCACAAUUAUUAGAAGAACAUCACCUUUGAUAUAUAUCGACUGCAGAUCAACGCUGAAUCACUAAUGAAAGUGACUUUUGGGGGAGGGAUUGGGGAGAGGAGGGGAUAAAAAAAAGCAUGAGCAUGUACCUGUUCCCCUAAAGAGACGGUGGCAGCAAGGUCCAUCUGAGCGCAGUCCCACAUGAGGAGCUCGGCUCGGAGGCCACGGCUAUGGCAGCAUCGAAGCGCUCGAAUCUGUGGCGGAGGGUUUCCUCCUCCUCCUCCUCAUGGCCAGCCGCCGUGGCUGCUAUAAGUGCGCCGGCACCGGGUGGCGUCUUCGAGCUCUGGGAUAUGGCUACACGAGGUGCUGGGCGAGGAUGCGGUGGGCGAGCAGCCGGCGGACGGCCACGAGGUACAGGAGGCGGUGG
rnacentral:lncRNA from 1 species